UUCCCAUGCCGCCGCCCCCUCCCCUUUGUGGAGGUGCACUUGAGUGUUUGUGUCCUGUUCUUGCUCAGGACAGAGUGCUUCGGAGGGUUCUCGCACCGGCUUGGAAGAAGGUUGUUGGGGAAGGUAGAAGAUUGAGAAGUUAGAAGUUCAGACUUCGUUGGUGCUCUCAAGUUGGCAGCUCUCUGUAAGCAUCGCUGCCACACUUUGUAAAAGGGGGUGGAUUCUGGCUUGCCUACCUUCCAGGGUUGUUGUAAAUGUGACCCUAAGGUCUGUACGGGAAGCCCUUGGAGCCUUCGGAAAGCGAUGCAUAAAUACAUUGUUAGAGUCUGCCUUUGCCCUGCACAGCCCCCUCCCGCCAUUCACUCUGAGACAUGCCUUGUAACUUGAGCCUGGCUAUCGUCCAGACUUCCUGCACCACCCACCCCAUCUGUGAUUGAGGGCCGAAGGCCUCUUUCCAUUUCCCUUGAGGUAGGGGUGUGUGUGUGCGCGUGCGCGCCAGCUUGUCACUUUUGGCUGAAGCCGCCAGCCGCUGAGUCACCGACAAAACUUUAGAGCUGUUGGAACUUCCUGCGAGGUUGCAGGGAGCUUUGCCAUGCCUUGAGCUACACAGCUAAGACAUUUGCAGCGCCGCUGAAGAAGGAGAGGAGGGAUUUAGGUCAAGCACUCGAAUCUUAUAACCCAGAGUUCCUGAACUUGGUACCCACCAGAUGUCCUGGGACACACCGUUCAGAACUGGGAAUUAUAUUGGGACUACCUUGGGAGAUACCACCUUGGACAAGAUGGUGACAGCCCCAUCUCACUGCCAGACGUCCUCCAUGCCACUUGAUCUGGGGAAUAAAUGAAGCCACAGCAGUCAAAGGCAUUCAGCUACUGUUGGAGGCUGACACGUGAAGAGGUCAUCUCCACCUAGUGAAGAUAGAGGGAACUCAUUUGGGAUCUACUUCAGACAACCUUCCCACAGGAGUUAAGAUGUGCUGGAGCCAUGGUUUACGAGCCAGUUAAUGGCCAUUAAUUUGCAGUGCUGGACAGCUUGAUGCAGCAGGUAGAUGAUAGAAAGUGGCGUAUGUGUGUCUCUCUCUGUUUGUGUGUGUAAUCUUCCAGGGGAAAGAGGAUUGGGAAUGGGAGCUGGCAGCGGGAGAGAUGGUACUAGGGAAAUGCAGAAGGGGCUGCUUGAGGAAGAUGGGGAAAAUUGUGCUUAAAAAGGCUUCAGCUUACCUUCCAGGAGCAUCUGAAUGUUCACUGAGGUUUUCUGGUCAGGAUAAUUGAUCACUGGGCGUUGUUGAAACAAAAUUGAGGUAGCUCAGUUAUGCUGAGAGAAGUUGAACUGGACAUAUAUCAGCAGAUCCAAUUCCACACUUCACUCUUGACCUGUUUCCUGGGUUUGAAUUCUCUCUUUCUUCAGCCCUGGAGGUCAGAGUGGAAAGAGAUGGGACCAG